UCGGCUUAGAGUUUGAUCAUGGCUCAGAGCGAACGCUGGCGGCAUGCUUAACACAUGCAAGUCGCACGAAGGUUUCGGCCUUAGUGGCGGACGGGUGAGUAACGCGUAGGAAUCUAUCCAUGGGUGGGGGAUAGCUCUGGGAAACUGGAGCUAAUACCGCAUGAUACCUGAGGGUCAAAGGCGCAAGUCGCCUGUGGAGGAGCCUGCGUUCGAUUAGCUUGUUGGUGGGGUAAUGGCCUACCAAGGCGAUGAUCGAUAGCUGGUCUGAGAGGAUGAUCAGCCACACUGGGACUGAGACACGGCCCAGACUCCUACGGGAGGCAGCAGUGGGGAAUAUUGGACAAUGGGGGCAACCCUGAUCCAGCAAUGCCGCGUGUGUGAAGAAGGUUUUCGGAUUGUAAAGCACUUUCGGCGGGGACGAUGAUGACGGUACCCGCAGAAGAAGCCCCGGCUAACUUCGUGCCAGCAGCCGCGGUAAUACGAAGGGGGCUAGCGUUGCUCGGAAUGACUGGGCGUAAAGGGCGUGUAGGCGGUUUGUACAGUCAGAUGUGAAAUCCCCGGGCUUAACCUGGGAGCUGCAUUUGAUACGUGCAGACUAGAGUGUGAGAGAGGGUUGUGGAAUUCCCAGUGUAGAGGUGAAAUUCGUAGAUAUUGGGAAGAACACCGGUGGCGAAGGCGCAACCUGGCUCAUGACUGACC
rnacentral:rRNA from 1 species